rnacentral:rRNA from 1 species
CCGGAGCUUGCUCCACCGAAAGAAAAAGAGUGGCGGAACGGGUGAGUAACACGUGGGUAACCUGCCCAUCAGAAGGGGAUAACACUUGGAAACAGGUGCUAAUACCGUAUAACACUAUUUUCCGCAUGGAAGAAAGUUGAAAGGCGCUUUUGCGUCACUGAUGGAUGGACCCGCGGUGCAUUAGCUAGUUGGUGAGGUAACGGCUCACCAAGGCCACGAUGCAUAGCCGACCUGAGAGGGUGAUCGGCCAACUGGGACUGAGACACGGCCCAGACUCCUACGGGAGGCAGCAGUAGGGAAUCUUCGGCAAUGGACGAAAGUCUGACCGAGCAACGCCGCGUGAGUGAAGAAGGUUUUCGGAUCGUAAAACUCUGUUGUUAGAGAAGAACAAGGAUGAGAGUAGAACGUUCAUCCCUUGACGGUAUCUAACCAGAAAGCCACGGCUAACUACGUGCCAGCAGCCGCGGUAAUACGUAGGUGGCAAGCGUUGUCCGGAUUUAUUGGGCGUAAAGCGAGCGCAGGCGGUUUCUUAAGUCUGAUGUGAAAGCCCCCGGCUCAACCGGGGAGGGUCAUUGGAAACUGGGAGACUUGAGUGCAGAAGAGGAGAGUGGAAUUCCAUGUGUAGCGGUGAAAUGCGUAGAUAUAAUGGGAGGGAACACCAGUGGCGAAAGGCGGCUCUCUGGUCUGUAACUGACGCUGAGGCUCGAAAGCGUGGGGAGCGAACAGGAUUAGAUACCCUGGUAGUCCACGCCGUAACGAUGAGUGCUAAGUGUUGGAGGGUUUCCGCCCUUCAGUGCUGCAGC